GACGUAGGGGGCGAGCGUUGUCCGGAUUUAUUGGGCGUAAAGAGCUCGUAGGCGGUCUGUCGCGUCUGCUGUGAAAACUCGGGGCUUAACCCCGGGCCUGCAGUGGGUACGGGCAGCACGUGUCGGAGGGGAGACUGGAAUUCCUGGUGUAGCGGUGAAAUGCGCAGAUAUCAGGAGGAACACCGGUGGCGAAGGCGGGGUCUCUGGG
rnacentral:rRNA from 1 species